rnacentral:lncRNA from 1 species
UUAUUUUUAUUUUUAUUUUUAUUAUUAUUAUUAUUAUUAGGAUUAUUAUUACUCCCUCCGUCCCAUAGUUAUAGGCUGAUUUUCCAUUUUGAGAUGUCCCAAUAUAUAGGCUACUUACUAUUUAUAAAAUUUAGUUGGUUCAUUAUUUUACUUUUAUUCCCUUAUAAUAAAUAUUCAACCAUUACUCUUUUUUUGAAGAAACAACC